AACUGCAAGAAGGGGACAAGAGGUUGUAGGUCACCGGACUGAGCAAGCCAUGAGCUGAGGGUGUGUACCCACUGCCCUUCUCUUUAUUAUAGGACCGUUUCCUGCACACUUACGAUGUCCCAGGUGCCAUUCUGUGCAAUGACUCUGAACCAACUCCUUUAAACCUGACUACCUGGAGGCAGGCACCAACACCAUCCCCGCUUUGUAAAUGGGGAAACUGAGGCAGAAACAGGUAGAGCCUGUGUGCUGAAGUCACGUAGUCAGGGAGGGUCACUCGAACCCAGGGGGCCUCUCUGGAGCCCCUUUCUCACCUCUCGUGUGCCCACGUUACUGCAGGACACAGGCCCAGCAUCCAGCCAGCCCAUGAAAGCUUGGCACAGCAGACAAGAUACCUUGCUCAGUACCCGCUCGCCCAUCAGGACUGUACCUGGGACUGAGGAACAGGUACUACAAGGGAAGAGGGGCCAGGUGAGAUCAGGUAUCCCCAUUACCCAGAUGUCGACUGAGGCCACCCAGAACCUAAAGGCUCCUGAUGAAACUCUCAUAUUGCUAAUUUAUCAUUGUUGACUUAGACUCUGGUCCCAUACAGCUUCGGUUGCUGUACCAAGGGGUGGCAUCUUACCGAAGAGACUACCAAGUGACCAGGUUGAGGUCAUGAAGCAGCCUCUUUUGCAAGUGACACGACAGAGAUGAGAGCGGGACACAGCAGAAGGGGACACCGAGGGACACAGGUACCUCCAGAGGCACAGGACAUCUUUGCAAACAGACCUCUGGGAAAUCUGCCUCACAAUUCACAGAUACAGCAAAGUCUGUGGAGCCUGGGUCUGCAGGACCAGCCCCACCUUCAGGCAGUGAGGAGAGUUAUGUGUCUGGCCCUGCCCUGCCCUGCCCUGUGACUCCAGUUACAGACUGACAGGACCCCCUGAGGGCUGCCGGGCUCCCCUCAGGCCACUGUCCAGCUGGUGUCUGAACCGUCAUGGAGUGGGGCAGCUGAGGGGAAACAAAUGGAGCCCUCAGCUGCCACCAUUCUCUGACAGAACCCUGAGUGGGAGUCCUGCCUCAGUGACCCUGUGCCUCAGUUUCCUCAUCUGUCCUGCUCCUGCUCACGAGGAGAAGGCAAGUCGUGUAUCGGGUCACAUUUCACACUGAGGUGCUGGCCCAGCAUUUGGAGCAAGACACUAAAUCAAAAGCUGGCUCCUCAGUGCCCUCAAGGGGAGCUGGGCUGGGGCAGGUUGUUGAGGAGACCUGGGCUUAGUGGGGAGAAAGCGGGUCAUUCACACUGAAUAGCUGAGCUGGGAUUUCUAUCUCUGCCCAUGGGCGUGACAUGACCUUAUCGAAAUGGAGACUUGGCCUCCUGCAGUGGCCCCCUACCUCCAGGUACUUGACCGGGAUCUUGUGCUUGGUGGCGUGGGACUGGGCCAGAGGCUGGAUCUCAGCAGCAUGUUGUCCCUUCUUCUUCAGGAUGGUACCCAGGGCUGUGAGCACGGUGCAGCCGUGCUUCUUCAGGUCCUCUGAACUCUUCAUCUCUUCCUCGGAUUUCAGGUU